GAUCGAAGAGACGGUAGAAGAAAAGAGAAAAGUAUUGCUGAGCGAUGCAGCCCAAACGGAUGAUCUGACUGAGACUAUUACAAGGAAUAAGAUAGAAAUGAUUCCCUCGGUGGAACAAAUACGACAAACAACGAAGAUAACCAGUGAUCUAUCGAUCGAUCCUGCAAAACUUGAAGAGCUUUAAAGACGAGCGACACCAUAGAGACAAUGAGAACCGUGACGCUGACGUCGGAAGUUGAUGCUUUGCAACCUGUAACGCGCGAGGAGAUUGUCAAAAGGCUAAACCAGGUCGCUGACACGCUACCGAGUAAGAUUUUCAAUUUUGGCGACAAGUUUCCGGACUCUUCCACCACUACAAUAAAGACUGACGAUGUUAUGCAGACGGUCACAACUGUACAACGCCAGACAACAGAAACGCCGGAGAUUGAGAGAACUGAGAGGGUAAUAAGAACGGUGAUCUCUAGCAGCGAAGCAGGCGAUACGGAGUCCGCUCUGAGAAGUCUCCAAGAGCAAUUAACGAAAUCCGAGAUCGGGGAGACCGCCUCUUGGAUAGCGGCGAACGAACAGUGGGGGACGCAGUAUUCCCAAGACACGUCACCCGGUUCCGGGAACGACGGCGGCGCUGACACGUUCGCCAGCAGCAACAAACAACAAUAACAACAACAAGAAUGAUGGUAGUUCGAGACACGAUAUACACAGCGACACCGAUAGUGACGGUUCGCCGCAACCUAGAAGAAGAUCUCCGAGCAAGAGGCGUACGUUGGGCAGUUCCAGCGGGUCGGAUGUAGCACUGCACGAAGGUGCGGAGCUGUCCCGUUGGAGGACGACCAAGAAUCUGACUUUUUGCAACAUAGCGAGCCAUCCUUCAUGGAAACGACAACGAUCGAGGUGGAUCCUGUUACUCAGGAAAG
rnacentral:misc_RNA from 1 species